ensembl:lncRNA
AUCAUAAGCCACGAUUUUUAAGCGUCUUUGGGCUUGUUGUUUGUGCUCGCCUCAUUAAGCGAUCCAGUUCAUGGAAUUAAUAAAGUAUGCAGAUGCAGGCAGAUGGAUCACAAGGCUUCAUCACAGACAAACAGUGAAGAAAAAAAGAAAAACAAGAAAAAAAAAACAAGCUCAGACCUCAUGUGACUUCAGAGGAGACACUGAAUCUAUACUGUAAGAUCACAGAAAUGCUUAAAUUCUUAUAGCUCAAUUUACAGUCACAACAAAAGGGCAAUGCUUACAAAGUCCAAUAAGCC